GGAGGGUGCGNNNGUUCCCGGAUUUACUGGGUGUMMMGGGNCGUGUAGGCGGUCUCUUUAGUCCGAUGCUCACGACCGAGGCUCAACUUCGGGAGUGCGUUGGAUACUGUGAGGCUAGACCGGUCGGAGAGGGUAGCGGAAUUUCCGGAGUAGCGGUGAAAUGCGCAGAUACCGGAAGGAACGCCAAUAGCGNAAGCAGCUACCUGGACGAUUGGUGACGCUGAGGCGCGAAAGCGUGGGGAGCAAAUCGGAUUAGAUACCCGGGUAGUCCACGCCCUAAACGUUGAGUGCUGGGUGUCCGACAUCUGUUGGGCGCCGUASUAACGCGUUAAGCACUCCACC
rnacentral:rRNA from 1 species